GUUUAUUUUCAUCUUCAGUUAAUGGUGAAGGAGCGACGGGAGACAUGAGGAUCAUUGUCUUCUCCUCUGAAUUACUCUUCAUUUUAAUUCUGAUGAUUUUACUGGUAUUUGAACCCUGGAUCACACCGUGUCUGCAGUCUUGUACGAAGGCAAUGAAGUCUCGUCGAGG